rnacentral:rRNA from 1 species
GACGAACGCUGGCGGCGUGCUUAACACAUGCGAGUCGAACGGAAAGGCCCUGCUUUUGUGGGGUGCUCGAGUGGCGAACGGGUGAGUAACACGUGAGUAACCUGCCCUUGACUUUGGGAUAACUUCAGGAAACUGGGGCUAAUACCGGAUAGGAGCUCCUGCUGCAUGGUGGGGGUUGGAAAGUUUCGGCGGUUGGGGAUGGACUCGCGGCUUAUCAGCUUGUUGGUGGGGUAGUGGCUUACCAAGGCUUUGACGGGUAGUCGGCCUGAGAGGGUGACCGGCCACAUUGGGACUGAGGUACGGCCCAGACUCCUACGGGAGGCAGCAGUGGGGAAUAUUGCACAAUGGGCGGAAGCCUGAUGCAGCAACGCCGCGUGCGGGAUGACGGCCUUCGGGUUGUAAACCGCUUUCGCCUGUGACGAAGCGUGAGUGACGGUAAUGGGUAAAGAAGCACCGGCUAACUACGUG